GACGAACGCUGGCGGCGUGCCUAAUACAUGCAAGUAGAACGCUGAAGGAGGAGCUUGCUCUUCUGGAUGAGUUGCGAACGGGUGAGUAACGCGUAGGUAACCUGCCUGGUAGCGGGGGAUAACUAUUGGAAACGAUAGCUAAUACCGCAUAACAGUAGAUGUUGCAUGACAUUUGCUUAAAAGGUGCAAUUGCAUCACUACCAGAUGGACCUGCGUUGUAUUAGCUAGUUGGUGGGGUAACGGCUCACCAAGGCGACGAUACAUAGCCGACCUGAGAGGGUGAUCGGCCACACUGGGACUGAGACACGGCCCAGACUCCUACGGGAGGCAGCAGUAGGGAAUCGUCGGCAAUGGACGGAAGUCUGACCGAGCAACGCCGCGUGAGUGAAGAAGGUUUUCGGAUCGUAAAGCUCUGUUGUAAGAGAAGAACGAGUGUGAGAGUGGAAAGUUCACACUGUGACGGUAUCUUACCAGAAAGGGACGGCUAACUACGUG
rnacentral:rRNA from 1 species